UGGGGAAUCUUGGACAAUGGGGGCAACCCUGAUCCAGCCAUGCCGCGUGAGUGAUGAAGGCCCUAGGGUCGUAAAGCUCUUCCGCCUGUGAAGAUAAUGACGGUAGCAGGUAAAGAAACCCCGGCUAACUCCGUG
rnacentral:rRNA from 1 species